rnacentral:rRNA from 1 species
UACGUAGGGCGCGAGCGUUGUCCGGAUUUAUUGGGCGUAAAGGGCUCGUAGGCGGCCAACUAAGUCCGACGUGAAAUCCCAAAGCUUAACUUUGGAACUGCGUCGGAUACUGGAUGGCUUGAAUUCGGGAGAGGGAUGCAGAAUUCCAGGUGUAGCGGUGAAAUGCGUAGAUAUCUGGAGGAAUACCGGUGGCGAAGGCGGCAUCCUGGACCGACAUUGACGCUGAGGAGCGAAAGCUAGGGGAGCAAACGGG